UAUGGGCUACAGAGAGGAUAAUCAAGCUAGCCAGUGUGGCAAAUUCAUUUGUAUUAUGACCAAGUGAGGGAAACCUGUGUGCUGUUUCCAGCUCUACCUGAAGAGGUCUUGUGCAAUUGCUCAGUUAUUUAUAAAAUGGAGGAAAUGGUUGUCUGUUCCAGUGGUAGAGGAUAUGACUCUGUGAUCAAUAAUAAUUGUGAAGCAUGUUAGAAAUAUUACAGCACUCAUUAAAAGAGUUCAGACAAGGGCCAGGGAUUUCCUGACUCCCAGCCCUGGAUAUCUUCCCCCAGGGUAAGGCAUAUUCUAUAGAGGACAGUCUCUCUUUAUACAAUCCAUGAGAUUUUAUUUGAGAUAUAAACAAGUGUGACAGAGCUGCCAAAUGUGUUAGUUUGACAUGAGAUACACAACACUUGGCAAGUCUGAUAAAAGAUUGUGAUAUGAACAAUUUAAUGGCAUGCAUAUGUGGUACCACAACUGAGAAAUUCACAGCUUUAAUUCUCUCCAAGUACUAAUCACUAUGUAUGCCAGCUGGCAGCCGUUAAUGGGAGCUUCAUCUUACCAAUUAGCCAUGUCUUGUGAAUGGUCUAGCUGUGUGUGUCCUCAAAGCAAACUGUGAGGGUAUCUGGCCAUCAUCUCUACCAGGGGCCAAAAAGGAAAACAGGAUGUGCCUGGAAUUAGUUUGUUUUCCAUUUGAAGGGAGGGGACUGAUCAGAGGGUUGCGAUACUGCACAGUCACCUCUAGGGGCAGUGAGCGUGGGGAAUAGCUAUACAGCAGAGUAACCAUAACCACUGGGGGCAGCUGCACCAGGAAGGGAGAGGCCACCUGGGGACCAUACUCACCAUCUUGCCAGCCAUCAACCCAGACUGAAGUAAUCUUUUGAAUGCUUUUGCUGUUUUCUGGCUGGACCUUGAUCUUCUAUCUAAGCCGGAACAGCUGCAAGAUGGGGGAGGUCGACACCACCUGGGACAGGCUCCUGGACCCGAGGCAUCUGCAGGUGCCACUGACUCAUGGAUGAGUUCCAGAGGCAACACCUGGCGG